CAACGGCCGCGUGCAGGAAGACGGACCUUCGGGUUGUAAACUGCUUUUCUCUGGGACGAGAACGGACGGUACCAGAGGAAGAAGCCCCGGCUAACUACGUGC
rnacentral:rRNA from 1 species